rnacentral:rRNA from 1 species
ACGUAGGACGCGAGCGUUAUCCGGAGUUACUGGGCGUAAAGCGCGGGCAGGCGGUCUGACAAGUCUGAUGUGAAAUCUCCGGGCUCAACCGGGAGAGGCCAUUGGAAACUGACAGGCUGGAGGGCAGUAGAGGUAGGCGGAAUUCCGGGUGGAGUGGUGAAAUGCGUAGAGAUCAGGCGGAACACCCGUGGCGAAGGCGGCCAGCUGGGCCGUCCCUGACGCUGAGGCGCGAAGGCGUGGGGAGCGAACGGG